rnacentral:rRNA from 1 species
UAAGUUAAUAAGGGCGCACGGUGGAUGCCUUGGCACUAGGAGCCGACGAAGGACGUGACAAACGACGAUAUGCCUUGGGUAGCUGUAAGUAAGCGAUGAUCCAGGGAUUUCCGAAUGGGGGAACCCAACAGGUAAUACCUGUUACCUACAUCUGUUAAGGAUGUGAGGAGGAAGACGCAGUGAACUGAAAACAUCUAAGUAGCUGUCAGGAAGAGAAAAGCAAAAGCGAUUGCCUUAGUAGCGGCGAGCGAAACGGCUAGAAGGGCAAACCGAAGAGUUUACUCUUCGGGGUUGUAGGACUGCAAUGUGGACUCAAAGAUUAUAGAAGAAUGAUUUGGGAAGAUCAGCCAAAGAGAGUAAUAGCCUCGUAUUUAAAAUAGUCUUUGUACUUAGCAGUAUCCUGAGUACGGCGGGACACGUGAAAUCCCGUCGGAAUCUGGGAGGACCAUCUCCCAACCCUAAAUACUCCCUAGUGACCGAUAGUGAACCAGUACCGUGAGGGAAAGGUGAAAAGCACCCCGGGAGGGGAGUGAAAUAGAACCUGAAACCGUGUGCCUACAACAAGUUCGAGCCCGUUAAUGGGUGAGAGCGUGCCUUUUGUAGAAUGAACCGGCGAGUUACGUUAUGAUGCGAGGUUAAGUUGAAGAGACUGAGCCGUAGGGAAACCGAGUCUGAAUAGGGCGCCUUAGUAUCAUGACGUAGACCCGAAACCAUGUGACCUACCCAUGAGCAGGUUGAAGGUGCGGUAAGACGCACUGGAGGACCGAACCAGGGCACGUUGAAAAGUGCUUGGAUGACUUGUGGGUAGCGGAGAAAUUCCAAACGAACUUGGAGAUAGCUGGUUCUCUCCGAAAUAGCUUUAGGGCUAGCGUCGACAUUAGAGAUUCUUGGAGGUAGAGCACUGUUUGGGUGAGGGGUCCAUCCCGGAUUACCAAUCUCAGAUAAACUCCGAAUGCCAAUGAAUUAUGGUCGGCAGUCAGACUGCGAGUGCUAAGAUCCGUAGUCAAGGGGAAACAGCCCAGACCACCAGCUAAGGUCCCAAAAUAAUUGUUAAGUGGAAAAGGAUGUGGGGUUGCACAGACAACUAGGAUGUUAGCUUAGAAGCAGCUAUUCAUUCAAAGAGUGCGUAAUAGCUCACUAGUCGAGUGACCCUGCGCCGAAAAUGUACCGGGGCUAAAACAAUUUACCGAAGCUGUGGAUACCUUUAUAGGUAUGGUAGGAGAGCGUUCUAUGUGUGAUGAAGGUAUACCGUGAGGAGUGCUGGAACGCAUAGAAGUGAGAAUGCCGGUAUGAGUAGCGAAAGACAGGUGAGAAUCCUGUCCACCGUAAGACUAAGGUUUCCAGGGGAAGGCUCGUCCGCCCUGGGUUAGUCGGGACCUAAGGAGAGACCGAAAGGUGUAUCCGAUGGACAACAGGUUGAUAUUCCUGUACUAGAGUAUGUAGUGAUGGAGGGACGCAGUAGGCUAACUAAAGCAGACGAUUGGAAGAGUCUGUCUAAGCAGUGAGGUGUGAAUUGAGUCAAAUGCUUAAUUCUAUAACAUUGAGCUGUGAUGGGGAGCGAAGUUUAGUAGCGAAGUUAGUGACGUCACACUGCCAAGAAAAGCUUCUAGCGUUUAAACAUACUCUACCCGUACCGCAAACCGACACAGGUAGUCGAGGCGAGUAGCCUCAGGUGAGCGAGAGAACUCUCGUUAAGGAACUCGGCAAAAUGACCCCGUAACUUCGGGAGAAGGGGUGCUGACUUAAAGUCAGCCGCAGUGAAUAGGCCCAAGCAACUGUUUAUCAAAAACACAGCUCUCUGCUAAAUCGUAAGAUGAUGUAUAGGGGGUGACGCCUGCCCGGUGCUGGAAGGUUAAGAGGAGUGCUUAGCGUAAGCGAAGGUAUGAAUUGAAGCCCCAGUAAACGGCGGCCGUAACUAUAACGGUCCUAAGGUAGCGAAAUUCCUUGUCGGGUAAGUUCCGACCCGCACGAAAGGCGUAAUGAUUUGGGCACUGUCUCAACGAGAGACUCGGUGAAAUUUUAGUACCUGUGAAGAUGCAGGUUACCCGCGACAGGACGGAAAGACCCCAUGGAGCUUUACUGCAGUUUGAUAUUGAGUGUCUGUACCACAUGUACAGGAUAGGUAGGAGUCUAAGAGAUCGGGACGCCAGUUUCGAAGGAGACGCUGUUGGGAUACUACCCUUGUGUUAUGGCCACUCUAACCCAGAUAGGUGAUCCCUAUCGGAGACAGUGUCUGACGGGCAGUUUGACUGGGGCGGUCGCCUCCUAAAAGGUAACGGAGGCGCCCAAAGGUUCCCUCAGAAUGGUUGGAAAUCAUUCGCAGAGUGUAAAGGUAUAAGGGAGCUUGACUGCGAGAGCUACAACUCGAGCAGGGACGAAAGUCGGGCUUAGUGAUCCGGUGGUUCCGUAUGGAAGGGCCAUCGCUCAACGGAUAAAAGCUACCCUGGGGAUAACAGGCUUAUCUCCCCCAAGAGUUCACAUCGACGGGGAGGUUUGGCACCUCGAUGUCGGCUCGUCGCAUCCUGGGGCUGUAGUCGGUCCCAAGGGUUGGGCUGUUCGCCCAUUAAAGCGGCACGCGAGCUGGGUUCAGAACGUCGUGAGACAGUUCGGUCCCUAUCCGUCGCGGGCGUAGGAAAUUUGAGAGGAUCUGCUCCUAGUACGAGAGGACCAGAGUGGACUUACCGCUGGUGUACCAGUUGUCUUGCCAAAGGCAUCGCUGGGUAGCUAUGUAGGGAAGGGAUAAACGCUGAAAGCAUCUAAGUGUGAAACCCACCUCAAGAUGAGAUUUCCCAUGAUUAUAUAUCAGUAAGAGCCCUGAGAGAUGAUCAGGUAGAUAGGUUAGAAGUGGAAGUGUGGCGACACAUGUAGCGGACUAAUACUAAUAGCUCGAGGACUUAUCCA